UGUCUACGUUCAAAACCGCGACGAGUGC
rnacentral:sRNA from 1 species